GAUGAAGAACGUAGCGAAAUGCGAUACUUGGUGUGAAUUGCAGAAUCCCGUGAACCAUCGAGUCUUUGAACGCAAGUUGCGCCCGAAGCCAUCAGGUUGAGGGCACGUCUGCCUGGGCGUCACAUAUCGUUGCCCAAUGCCUAUUGCAGUGCAAUAGGAAUUUCUAGGGCGAAUGAUGGCUUCCCGUGAGCGUUGUUGCCUCGCGGUUGGUUGAAAAUCGAGUCCUUGGUAGGGUGUGCCAUGGUAGAUGGUGGUCGAGUUAGAACGAUACCGAUCAUGUGCAUGCUCCCCAUAAUAUGGCCUCUAUGACCCACACGCGUCUUUUGACGCACAUGACGAGACCUCAGGUCAGGCGGGGCUACCCGCUGAAUUUAAGCAUAUCAAUAAGCGGAGGA
rnacentral:misc_RNA from 1 species